rnacentral:rRNA from 1 species
UGGGGAAUAUUGCACAAUGGGCGCAAGCCUGAUGCAGCCAUGCCGCGUGUGUGAAGAAGGCCUUCGGGUUGUAAAGCACUUUCAGCGAGGAGGAAGGUGGUGAGCUUAAUACGCUCAUCAAUUGACGUUACUCGCAGAAGAAGCACCGGCUAACUCCGUGCCAGCAGCCGCGGUAAUACGGAGGGUGCAAGCGUUAAUCGGAAUUACUGGGCGUAAAGCGCACGCAGGCGGUUUGUUAAGUCAGAUGUGAAAUCCCCGGGCUCAACCUGGGAACUGCAUUUGAAACUGGCAAGCUAGAGUCUCGUAGAGGGGGGUAGAAUUCCAGGUGUAGCGGUGAAAUGCGUAGAGAUCUGGAGGAAUACCGGUGGCGAAGGCGGCCCCCUGGACGAAGACUGACGCUCAGGUGCGAAAGCGUGGGGCAGCAAACAGGAUUAGAUACCCUGGUAGUCCACGCUGUAAACGAUGUCGAUUUGGAGGUUGUGCCCUUGAGGCGUGGCUUCCGGAGCUAACGCGUUAAAUCGACCGCCUGGGGAGUACGGCCGCAAGGUUAAAACUUAAAUGAAUUG